rnacentral:tRNA from 23 species
GCACCCGUAGCUCAGUUGGAUAGAGCACUUGGCUACGAACUAAGGGGUCGGGAGUUCGAAUCUCUCCGGGUGCGCCA